UCGAACGCGAAAGCUCCGCAAGGGGCAAGUAGAGUGGCAAACGGGUGAGUAACACGUGGGUGACCUGCCUUCGAGUGGGGGAUAACGUCCCGAAAGGGACGCUAAUACCGCAUGACAUCCUGCCUUUGAAGAGGCGGAGAUCAAAGCCGGGGAUCGCAAGACCUGGCGCUUGAAGAGGGGCCCGCGCCUGAUUAGCUAGUUGGUGGGGUAAUGGCUCACCAAGGCGACGAUCAGUAGCUGGCCUGAGAGGGCGGACGGCCACACUGGGACUGAGACACGGCCCAGACUCCUACGGGAGGCAGCAGUGGGGAAUUGUUCGCAAUGGGCGCAAGCCUGACGACGCAACGCCGCGUGGAGGAUGAAGAUCUUCGGGUCGUAAACUCCUUUCGAUCGAGACGAACGGCCUCUGGGCUAAUCACCAGAGGAGUGACGGUACCGAGAGAAGAAGCCCCGGCUAACUCCGUGCCAGCAGCCGCGGUAAUACGGGGGGGGCAAGCGUUG
rnacentral:rRNA from 1 species